CGAAGAGCUUCCACUGUUCUUCGUGACCGUCCAAUCAAUCUCGUCAACAAAUAUGACCGAGGGUGCAUGGUACUUGGCCAAGUCACAGAGUACCUGGAAAUUUUCUAUUAAUCAAUCAAUUAUUCUAUUCGAAUUAGAACAACGCCAAGUGCCUCGACAGCUGUCUUCUCUGACUGAGACUUGACCUUUGAAUCACCCCUCCAUUUACUCACUAUGGAACUUGAGAGGGCGAUGGGCUUGUGCCAUGCAAUGGAUAAUUUUAUAUGGAGGUCGUACCUGUUCCCGAUGGACCGUACAAAAGUAUUCCUUGCCAGGGCGAAAAUUUACCGCUGAAUACUUCUGGAUAUUUAAUGGGAAAGACUG